CAAAGGAUAGUUUAAUAAAAUAUAAAUUUUGGAGAUUUAAGAUAGAAGGGGAUUCUUCCUUUGA
rnacentral:tRNA from 1 species